rnacentral:hammerhead_ribozyme from 1 species
AUCCAGUUAACGAGUCCCAAAUAGGACGAAACGCGUGUCCUGGAU